rnacentral:rRNA from 1 species
UACGUAGGGUGCAAGCGUUGUCCGGAAUUAUUGGGCGUAAGGAGCUCGUAGGCGGUCUGUCGCGUCUGCUGUGAAAACUCGGGGCUUAACCCCGGGCCUGCAGUGGGUACGGGCAGACUAGAGUGCGGUAGGGGAGACUGGAAUUCCUGGUGUAGCGGUGAAAUGCGCAGAUAUCAGGAGGAACACCGAUGGCGAAGGCAGCUCGCUGGGACGGUACUGACGCUGAGGCGCGAAAGCGUGGGGAGCAAACAGG